rnacentral:rRNA from 1 species
CCUACGGGAGGCAGCAGUGGGGAAUUUUGCGCAAUGGGGGGAACCCUGACGCAGCAACGCCGCGUGCGGGACGAAGGCCCUCGGGUUGGAAACCGUUUUCAGCAGGGAAGUUCCAAUACGGUACCUGCAGAAUAUGCUUCUGCUAACUACGUGCCAGCAGCCGCGGUAAUACGCAGGGGGCGAGCGUUAUCCGGAUUCAUUGGGCGUAAGGCGCUCGUUGGCGGCUGCCUAAGCGGGACCUCUAACUCCGGGUCUAAACCCCAGGCCGGGUGCCGGACUGGGCGGCUCGAGUGCGGUAGAGGAGAGCGGAAUUCCCGGUGUAGCGGUGGAAUGCGCAGAUAUCGGGAAGAACACCAAGGGCGAAGGCAGCUCUCUGGGCCGUCACUGACGCUGAGGCGCGAAAGCUGGGGGAGCGAACAGGAUUAGAUACCCGGGUAGUC